CUCAGUGACAUUGACACUCAGAGAGCAGCAUCUCCAGUAUUCAGCUGUGUGUCUAUGAAGAGCAACAGAUCCAUGGGUAUGCCCCCUAAUCUCAGUGACGUUGACACUCAGAGGGCAGCAUAUACAGCAUCUAUCUUUGACCCUGUUACCAUCAGCAGGAAGAAAAAGAGAGCAACUUCUCCACUGCAGCCCCCUGAUCUCAGUGAUGAAUCAGAUCCUUUUGAUUCUGUAUAUGCAUCCUGUCAGACCUUCACAUCUUCUUACUAUCAGACACCACAUCA